UACGGGGGGGGCAAGCGUUGUUCGGAAUUACUGGGCGUAAAGGGUUUGUAGGUGGCCAACUAAGUCAGACGUGAAAUCCCUCAGCUUAACUGGGGAACUGCGUCUGAUACUGGUUGGCUUGAGUGCAGGAGAGGAAUGCGGAAUUCCAGGUGUAGCGGUGAAAUGCGUAGAUAUCUGGAGGAACACCGGUGGCGAAGGCGGCAUUCUGGACUGCAACUGACACUGAAGAACGAAAGCGUGGGGAGCAAACAGG
rnacentral:rRNA from 1 species